UACGGGGGGGGCAAGCGUUGUUCGGAAUUACUGGGCGUAAAGGGCUCGUAGGUGGCCAACUAAGUCAUACGUGAAAUCCCUCAGCUUAACUGGGGAACUGCGUCUGAUACUGGAUGGCUUGAGUUUGGGAGAGGGAUGCGGAAUUCCAGGUGUAGCGGUGAAAUGCGUAGAUAUCUGGAGGAACACCGGUGGCGAAGGCGGCAUCCUGGACCGAUACUGACACUGAGGAGCGAAAGCGUGGGGAGCAAACGGG
rnacentral:rRNA from 1 species